UUGCUAUGAUGAAACUCAGUUUAUUGACGGUAUUCAUAAGAUUACUUGUGAUACAUCGGCAUUUAUGUCGAACCUGAGCGGUUACCUGAGCAA